UCAUCGUUGAAGCGCCAUUUGGCAGUUUCACCCCUUUUCGAUUGAAAAAAAGGGAGAGAGCACUAAUAUGCCCGAU
rnacentral:tRNA from 1 species